rnacentral:rRNA from 1 species
UCAGGCCUAACACAUGCAAGUCGAGCGGGGUUUUCGGACCUAGCGGCGGACGGGUGAGUAAUGCGUAGGAAGCUACCCGAUAGAGGGGGAUACCAGUUGGAAACGACUGUUAAUACCGCAUAAUGUCUACGGACCAAAGUGUGGGACCUUCGGGCCACAUGCUAUCGGAUGUGCCUACGUGGGAUUAGCUAGUUGGUGAGGUAAUGGCUCACCAAGGCGACGAUCCCUAGCUGGUUUGAGAGGAUGAUCAGCCACACUGGAAAGGAGACACGGUCCAGACUCCUACGGGAGGCAGCAGUGGGGAAUAUUG